GACGAACGCUGGCGGCGUGCUUAACACAUGCAAGUCGAACGGAAAGGCCCUGCUUUUGUGGCGUUCUCAAGUGGCGAACGCGGGAGUAACACGUGAGUAACCUCCGCUUUACUUUGGGAUAACUUCAGUAAACUGGAGCGAAUAUCGCAUAUAACCUCCUUCUGCAUGGGGUUUGUGUGUAAAAGUCGGUGGUUCAGGAUGUACUCGUGGCUUAUCAUCUUGUUGGUGGGGUAGUGGGUUACAAAGGCUUUGAGGGGUAGCCGGCCUGAGAGGGUGACCGGCCACAUUCGGACUGAGGUACGGGCCAGAGUGAUACGGGAGGCAGCAGUGGGGAAUAUUCCGCACUACGCGGCAGCCGGAUGCAGGAAUGUCGCGUGCGGGAUGACGGUCUUUGGGUUGUAACCCGCGUGAGAGUGUAAAGAAGAGCGAGUGACGGUAACGGGUAAGAAAGCAACGGCUAACUACGUG
rnacentral:rRNA from 1 species